UCAAGAAGCAGCAGCGCGCAAAUUACCCACUCCCGGCACGGGGAGGUAGUGACGAAAAAUAACGAUACGGGACUCAUCCGAGGCCCCGUAAUCGGAAUGAGCACACUUUAAACCCUUUAACGAGUAUCCAUUGGAGGGCAAGUCUGGUGCCAGCAGCCGCGGUAAUUCCAGCUCCAAUAGCGUAUAUUAAAGUUGUUGCGGUUAAAAAGCUCGUAGUUGGAUUUGUGUCCCACGCUGUCGGUUCACCGUUCGUCGGUGUUUAACUGGCAUGCCCGUGUGGACGUCCUGUCGGUGGAUGCGGUCGGCCGUAGGCUUCGGUCUGCGUGUCGGCGGUCCGAUGCAAUCCUACCGCGGUGCUCUUUACCGAGUGUCGAGGUGGGCCGGCACGUUUACUUUGAACAAAUUAGAGUGCUCAAAGCAGGCAGUGGUUCGCCUGAAUAUUGUGUGCAUGGAAUAAUGGAAUAGGACCUCGGUUCUAUUUUGUUGGUUUUCGGAACUUGAGGUAAUGAUUAAUAGGGACAAACGGGGGCAUUCGUAUUGCGACGUUAGAGGUGAAAUUCUUGGAUCGUCGCAAGACGAACCUAAGCGAAAGCAUUUGCCAUGAGUGUUUUCAUUAAUCAAGAACGAAAGUUAGAGGUUCGAAGGCGAUCAGAUACCGCCCUAGUUCUAACCAUAAACGAUGCCAGCUAGCGAUCCGCCGAAGUUCCUCCGAUGACUCGGCGGGCAGCUUCCGGGAAACCAAAGCUUUUGGGUUCCGGGGGAAGUAUGGUUGCAAAGCUGAAACUUAAAGGAAUUGACGGAAGGGCACCACCAGGAGUGGAGCCUGCGGCUUAAUUUGACUCAACACGGGAAACCUCACCAGGCCCGGACACCGGAAGGAUUGACAGAUUGACAGCUCUUUCUUGAUUCGGUGGGUGGUGGUGCAUGGCCGUUCUUAGUUGGUGGAGCGAUUUGUCUGGU
rnacentral:rRNA from 1 species